rnacentral:lncRNA from 15 species
ACGUUGACCCCAGACCCUCUGGUCAGGCUUCCCUACACCUCCACAUGUGUUCUGCUGGGGUACGGGAUGGUGGACUUGAGCACCUGCCAAAUAUGAGCUGGAGCACCUGUGGACAAUUUAAAGGGCUAAAUGAGACUGAAAAGGCUGAAUGUUUAGAGAUGGUACCAAGACCCAAAUCCGCCAACAAGAAUGGGAAGAAGUCAGACUCUGGGUCCAGCAGCAGGAGCUUCUUCGACCUGGUCGACUAUCAGGGAGUCCUCGGUGAGACACUAAAGUCAGAUCAGCAGCAUUACAAUCCUGACAUGAGUCUACUUCAAUCCUCCAUCCUUUGUAUUCCUCUUACUCCAUUCUGUGAUCAGCACAUGCUUUUAAAUACCUAAGAAAAUGGAAUGCAAACCAGCUCAAGUGAUAGCAGAAAUGCCCCAAAAGCCCCAGUUCAUGUGAGGAAAUUGCCAUGGUUGUACGACUAAGCUUCCUGAUUAUGUAUUCAGACUUUGGAUGAACUUGGCAUAUGGACCACUGUCGCGGGGUUCUAUUUCAAACUCCUCAAUAACUUAAUAAAGAACACAG